rnacentral:rRNA from 1 species
UACGAAGGGGGCUAGCGUUGCUCGGAAUCACUGGGCGUAAAGGGCGCGUAGGCGGCGUCUUAAGUCGGGGGUGAAAGCCUGUGGCUCAACCACAGAAUGGCCUUCGAUACUGUGAUGCUUGAGUCUGGUAGAGGUUGGUGGAACUGCGAGUGUAGAGGUGAAAUUCGUAGAUAUUCGCAAGAACACCGGUGGCGAAGGCGGCCAACUGGACCAGCACUGACGCUGAGGCGCGAAAGCGUGGGGAGCAAACAGG